CUCAAAAACAAAAAUUAUCCAAAAUAAAAAUCCAAAAAAUAAUACAUUACAUAUAUACACAUACAUAUAGAUAUAUGGUUGUAUAUGUAUGCAGAUAGAGCUACCUGAUCUUAUCUAUCUUUCCUUUCGAUCAAGUCCAUUUGACGACUAUUAGACACUGAUCAGCCAACAUCAAAAUCGCAAGUGGGACCCCAAUUUCAAAUCAGAAGAAGAAUUUAGAGAUUAACAGAAACGAA